rnacentral:rRNA from 1 species
AUUGAACGCUGGCGGCAGGCCUAACACAUGCAAGUCGAGCGAGCGGCGGACGGGUGAGUAAUGUCUGGGGAACUGCCUGAUAGAGGGGGAUAACUACUGGAAACGGUAGCUAAUACCGCAUACAAUCGGAUGAGCCCAGAUGGGAUUAGCUAGUAGGUGGGGUAAAGGCUCACCUAGGCGACGGUCCCUAGCUGGUUUGAGAGGAUGACCAGCCACACUGGAACUGAGACACGGCCCAGACUCCUACGGGAGGCAGCAGUGGGGAAUAUUGCACAAUGGGCGCAAGCCUGAUGCAGCCAUGCCGCGUGUAUGAAGAAGGCCUUCGGGUUGUAAAGUACUUUCAUCGGGGAGGCGGUACCCGCAGAAGAAGCACCGGCUAACUCCGUGCCAGCAGCCGCGGUAAUUC